rnacentral:rRNA from 1 species
CAGCCGCCGCGGUAAUACGGAGGGGGCUAGCGUUGUUCGGAAUUACUGGGCGUAAAGCGCACGUAGGCGGCUUGGUAAGUUAGAGGUGAAAGCCCGGAGCUCAACUCCGGAAUUGCCUUUAAGACUGCCGAGCUAGCAGGUGAGAGAGGUAAGUGGAAUUCCGAGUGUAGAGGUGAAAUUCGUAGAUAUUCGGAAGAACACCAGUGGCGAAGGCGGCUCACUGGCUCAUACUGGACGCUGAGGUGCGAAAGCGUGGGGAGCAAACAGGAUUAGAUACCCCCGUAGUCCCUGUCUCUUAUAC